rnacentral:rRNA from 1 species
UACGUAGGGUGCAAGCGUUGUCCGGAAUUAUUGGGCGUAAAGAGCUCGUAGGCGGUCUGUCGCGUCUGCUGUGAAAACCUGGGGCUUAACUCUGGGCGUGCAGUGGGUACGGGCAGACUAGAGUGCAGUAGGGGAGACUGGAAUUCCUGGAUGUAGCGGUGAAAUGCGCAGAUAUCAGGAGGAACACCGGUGGCGAAGGCGGGUCUCUGGGCUGUAACUGACGCUGGAG